rnacentral:tRNA from 1 species
CAUUGAAUGGCUGAAGUGAAAGCAAUGGUCUCUUAAACCACAUUAUAGUAAACAAAUACUUUCAAUGG